rnacentral:lncRNA from 1 species
CAGGAAGGGGUAAAUGCAAAGCUUAACCUUUGGAGAGAAGUGUUGGAAUCUAAAGGUCUUCGCCUAAGCCGAUCAAAGACAGAAUAUAUGGAGUGCAAGUUCAGUGCAAAUGGAGGCCAAAACGAGUUAGGGGUGAGGAUCGGAGAUCAAGAAAUACCAAAGAGCGACCGUUUUCGUUACCUAGGAUCUAUCUUGCAAAAGAACGGAGAAUUAGAUGGAGAUCUCAACCAUAGAAUACAAGCUGGAUGGAUGAAGUGGAAGAGUGCAUCUGGCGUGUUAUGUGACCGUCGUAUGCCACUGAAGCUCAAGGGAAAAUUUUAUAGGACGGCAAUAAGGCCGGCGAUGCUGUAUGGCACAGAAUGUUGGGCGGUGAAACAUCAGCACGUACACAAAAUGGGUGUAGCGGAGAUGAGGAUGCUUCGUUGGAUGUGUGGGCACACGAGAAAGGAUAAGAUUAGGAAUGAGGAUAUCCGGGGUAAAGUAGGAGUAGCCGAAAUUGAAGGAAAGAUGAGAGAAAAUCGGUUACGGUGGUUUGGACAUGUACAAAGAAGGCCUACUGACGCUCCGAUUAGAAGAUGCGACUAUGGGACAGAGGUUCAGGGCCGAAGGGGUAGAGGAAGACCUAGGAAAACUUUGGAAGAGACUCUAAGAAAAGACUUAGAGUACUUGGAUCUAACGAAGGACAUGACACAGGAUCGAGCACAAUGGCGUUCUAAGAUUCAUAUAGCCGAUCCCACCCAGUGACUUGGAUUUUCCAAGUCUCCAACCGAGAAGUUUUCCUCACUCGGAAAAUUAAGGGAACACUACCCCAACCUACAUGCUCCACUCAGAAAGCUUCAACAUACAAGCUUCAACAAAAGAAAAUUCAAAGAACUUAGCGAAUAAGGCUUUGGUGUAUUUAACACAAUACGUUGAAAUGAAGGAAAGCUUAUUUAUUGAUAUCCCCGAUAAGCUACAAAUAUGUACAUAUACAUGAGUCAAAAUAAACACACAAGAGGGAGCCUUCACAAAGGUUGCUUAGGAGAAGUCUCAGCAGUCGGUAGAGCCCUAGAAAGAGAAGGCACCGGAGGGGGAUCAUUUGGAGCCUCAGUACUGGACAGAACCCUAGAAGGAGGAGGCAUCAGAGGUUGAUCAUUUGGAGCUUCAUUACGCGGUACAGCCCCAGAAGACGAAGGCAAUAAAUGCCUUUGGAACAAACCCACAAAUCUCUGAUGAUCAAGUAAAACCUGACCAUCAGUUUCCUUCAUCUGGUCAAGCUUCCUCUUCAUGUUUGUAGCAUAGUCAUGUGCGAGCCGGUGCAACUGUUUAUUCUCAUGCUUGAGCCCUCUAAUCUCCUGUUUGAGACUCAUCAUUUCAGCCGCCAAUGAUUCAACUUGGCGGGUUCGAGCAAAUAGGCGUUGGGCCAUAUUAGACACAGAACCUGCACACUGAACACUGAGAGCCAGCGAAUCCUUAACAGCUAACUCAUCAGACCGUUUGGAAAGUAGUCUGUUAUCUUUGGGAGUGAGAAGGUUCCUGGCCACCACCGCAGCGGUCAUAUCAUUCUUCAUCACGGAAUCCCCAACGGUAAGAGGACCAGUAGGGGAGACGAAGGAUGGGCGCCAUAUGUUGUCUGGAGAAGGCGGGGCUGCCUCUUCAACAAGGUUCAAGUCAAAACGACGGUCGGAGGGGCCAGACAUUUUCAAAGGUGUUGAAGAGAGAAGAGGUCGGACAAAUCAAGAUCUUAGAAGUGCAAGAAUGAAGCUUCUACUGGUGGAGAUUCAAGUGUGCUUUGGAACUUAAUGCCAGCCCCUAUAAAAAUCUGCACUCGACGGAGCUUCAGAAAUCGAAGAAGCGCCUGCUCAGAAAUCGAAGAGGCGUUUGCUUUCUCAAAAAGCUGGGCUGCUUAGAGAUCACGAGGGUUGAUCUCAGAAAUCGAAGAGGCGUUUGCUUUCUCAAAAGUUGGGCUGCUCAAAGACCACAAAGGCCGAUCUCAGAAAUCGAAGAGGCGCUCCCCAGAGACCACGAGGGCCGAUCUCAGAAAUCGAAGAGGCACCUACUUUUCCAGCCUUGUCAGCACCUGUCACACGCACACUCAGCUUUGCGGAAAUUAUGGGCAUUCUAUCGAAGACUUCUGGGGAAGUAGAAAACACAUGAAUCUUACUGUUCAAUCACCCACUUGCCACACGCAACAAUAGCUCAUGGGUACCACAGAAAACUUUGCCAAAGUUCUCUGCCAAAGUUGAGCACGUGAAGCUUGCAGCUCCCACUACAUCGCUCUGACCAAGAAGGGUAAAAGAAUAGCAAAUAAACAGCACUAACAAAGUUUAAACCCAUAAAUUUUGAAGGUCUAGCUACCAUAUUAUUACCCACAAGGGUAAAGGAACAGUACCACUGCUGGAUAAUUGGAAAGUCCCUGUGUGUCAACCUCUGUGCUUCGUGGCAAGGUAGACUAGCAAACAUGCCCAACCUUUACUCACAUUCGAGAAAACACUCCCAAUAAGAUUGCUUGCUCCAAAAUCGAAGAGGCACCGUCCUCCGAAUCUCGAGAGCCAGACUCCCAACAUGACUACUUUCUUAAAAAUCGAAGAGAAGCUUCGUGGCAAGGUAGACUAGCAAACAUGCCCAACCUUUACUCACAUUCGAGAAAAACACUCCCCAACAAGAUUGCUUGCUCCAAAAUCGAAGAGGCACCGCCCUCCGAAUCUCGAGAGCCAGACUCCCAACAUGAUUACUUUCUCAAAAAUCGAAGAGACACUGCUCCCCGAAUCUUCGAGAGCCAGACCCCCAACAUGAUUGCUUUCUCAAAAAUCGAUGACGCAUCGUUCUCCGAAUCAAUCGAAAAGGCGCUCGCUUUCUCAAAAGCUGGGCUGCUCAGAGACCACGAGGGCCAAUCUCAGAAAUCGAAGAGGCACCUACUUUUCUAGCCUUGUCAGCACCUGUCACACGCACACUCAGCUUUGCAGAAAUUAUGGGCAUUCUGUCGAAGACUUCUGGUGAAGUAGAAAGCACAUGAAUCUUACUGUUCAAUCACCCACUUCCCACACGCAACAAUAGCUCAUGGGUACCACAUAUAACUUUGCCAAAGUUCUCUGCCAAAGUUGAGCACGUGAAGCUUGCAGCUCCCACUACAUCGCUCUGACCAAGAAAGGUAAAAGAAUAGCAAAGAAACAGCACUAACAAAGUUUAGACACAUAAAUUUUGAAGGUCUAGCUACCAUAUUAUUACCCACAAGGGUAAAGGAACAGUACCACUGCUGGAUAAUUGGAAAGUCCCUGUGUGUCAACCUCUGUGCUUCGUGGCAAGGUAGACUAGCAAACAUGCCCAACCUUUACUCACAUUCGAGAAAACACUCCCAACAAGAUUGCUUGCUCCAAAAUCGAAGAGGCACCGUCCUCCGAAUCUCGAGAGCCAGACUCCCAACAUGACUACUUUCUCAAAAUCGAAGAGAGGGUAAAGGAACAGUACCAUUGCUGGAUAAUUGGAAAGUCCUUGUGUGUCAACCUUUGUGCUUCGUGGCAAGGUAGACUAGCAAACAUGCCCAACCUUUACUCACAUUCGAGACAACACUCCCAACAAGAUUGCUUGCUCCAAAAUCGAAGAGGCACCGCCCUUCGAAUCUCGAGAGCCAGACUCCCAACAUGAUUACUUCCUCAAAAAUCGAAGAGACACUGCUCUCCGAAUCUCGAGAGUCAGACCCCCAACAUGAUUACUUUCUCAAAAAUCGAUGAGGCAUCGUUCUCCGAAUCUCGAGAGCCAGAUACCACAGACCACUUUUUCAAAGUGCUCUGACAGAGUUAAAACAUGUGAAACUGGCAGCUCCCACUACCGUGCUAUGACCAAACAGGGUAAAGGAAUAGCAUUACUACUUGUUGUUAGGGAGACUCCUAUAUAUGUCGACCUCCAUCCCCAACGGACAGGCAGACCUGCAAAAAUGCUCAACCCUUCAUCAUAUCUGAGAGGGCACUCCCAACGAAGCCUUUCGAAAUAUUCAGCUUUCUUUCCCCCCGAUAAUACCUCUGCAAACAAGCUAUACUAGAGCAAGAAUAUCUCAUAUCAUCAGGGUUAAAAGCAAGAGUAUCCCAUAUCAUGUUUUUUCCCUGUCUUUUCCUUUGGCCUUGUUUUUACCUGCAAGACAAGGAGAAAGAGAGCAAUCAGUCAGCACUUGGAAUCAAGCUUCCAGCCAAGAACUGACUGCCUGGAACCCCUUACCUGAUUACUUACCUGGCAUUGCUCUCGAGUACUCAUGUUCAACAUCUUAUGUUUCCAGGGAAGAUUCCGCAUCUGCUUGAGGAACAGAUAGGGCAAGUGCGAAGGAUACAAGGAAGCAUGUGGAGACAAGCGUAACAGCACACGUGCCGAUACAUCCAUUACUCUGUCAAAAGCAAAAGUAUCCCAUAUCAGCAGGGCGGAACGUACUCUAGAUUUGAUGGACUUGUUUUGACCCUCAAAUUCUUCAGUCGGCCUUAUACUCUGGAGGAAACCAGAAAACCCUCCAGCUCAGUUCAAGAAUAAGCCUGUGGAAAGUUACUUCUUCAAAAGCAAAAGUAUCUCAUAUCAUCUCUUCUCAUUUUUUUCUUCUCUUUAUCCUUCAUGCUGCUGCAAGAUGGGGAGAAGGUGAACAAUCAGUCGGAGCUCUGAUUGCUUACCUUGUCUGUCACCUCUUUCAGCAGACCCCCUAGCUCGGCGACUUGGGGGACUCCUACUACAUGGUUUGUAUCGCGCUUGACCAAGCCUGAAACUACAAGUAAGCUUCAAGUGAAAUUGAUACAUUACCUUGUGCAUCUCCACCAGUUAAAGAUACCACCCCCUGGAUGGAGGAAGAGUACUUCCAGAGAAGAUGCCACAUCUACCUAUGAGACAGAUAAGGCAAGUCAAGACGACACCACACUCCGAUACUUAGAAGUUUCGUGAUUACGAGAUCAUUCUCCCACAAUAUUUCCUAAUGUCAUUUGUACUAAAUCAUUCACUUGUACUCACUAAAGGAGAGCUUGAACCUAUGUACUUGUGUAAACCCUUCACAAUUAAUGAGAACUCUUCUAUUCCGUGGACGUAGCCAAUCUGGGUGAACCACGUACAUCUUGUGUUUGCUUUCCUAUCUCUAUCCAUUUAUAUACUUAUCCACACUAAUGACCGGAGCAAUCUAGCGAAGAUCACAAAAAGCGACUGUUUUCGCUACCUAGGAUCUAUCUUGCAAGAGAACGGAGAAUUAGAUGGAGAUCUCAACCAUAGAAUACGAGCUGGAUGGAUGAAGUGUAAGAAUGCAUCUGGCGUGUUGUGUGACCGUCGUAGGCCACUGAAGCUCAAGGGAAAAUUUUAUAGGACGGCAAUAAGGCCAGCGAUGUUGUAUGGCACAGAAUGUUGGGCGGUGAAGCAUCAACACGUACACAAAAAUGGGUGUAGCGGAGAUGAGGAUGCUUCGUGGGAUGUGUGGGCACACGAGAAAGGAUAAGAUUGGGAAUGAGGAUAUCCGAGGUAAAGUAGGAGUAGCCGAAAUUGUAGGAAAGAUGAGAGAAAAUCGGCUCCGGUGAUUUGGACAUGUGCAAAGAAGGCCGACUGACGCUCCGGUUCGAAGAUGUGACUAAGGGACAGAGGUUCAGGGCCGAAGGGGUAGAGGAAGACCUAGGAAAACUUUGGAAGAGACUCUAAGAAAAGACUUAGAGUACUUGGAUCUAACGGAGGACAUGACACAAAACCGAGCGCAAUG